GCACAAGAGCAAAAGGAUUAGCGCAUUAGUGAUUUACUUUUAUCGGUUUUGCUUCGCCGGGAAUCUAUUCUCUGCUGUCGCUAGCCUCGUAAUCCAUUCUUCUGUAAGCUUAUCUUCUCCUUCGAAAAUUUACGGAAGAAAUCAGAGGCUUCACAAAGUUUCUACUUUCCAUUUUUGCUCAGCCGGGCCAUAGUCAUGAGUUCGUUUGCUCGUUUAGAACAUCGAACAGAUGAGGAUCCUAAUGUAAUCGCCAUGAUCUCCUUCUUGCUUGCUUCUGUUUCAGGAGGAGCGCUCUUUCUGGAGAUGGAAGUUAAUUUCCAUGCUGGGCUGAUGAAGCUGGGGAUGAGGUCUAAUGCUCUAUUUAUAUGUUCGAACUGCAAAAGGUUAUUUUUGGGAGCAAUUGUAUACAUGAAGCUGCACGCAAUUUAUUUGAUAGAAUGUCUCAGAGAUGUUCUGUAUCCUGAAUGACCUUGAUGAAAGGUUUAUCAAGACAUGGAAUCCAAGAAGUUUGAUGCUUUUUGUAUGGUCAAGGAGAUGGAAGAGGCUAGUGAUUGCACCAAAUUCAUUGUACCUUUUCCUUCAGUCACUAUCUUCAGAAUUUGGUAAAUGGGAUCGGCCACUAGGGGAACUUUGAUAAGAAAAUCCGGGAAGGAAUGACCUAUAUUGGCCGCCUUGCUGGAAUAAGCAGAUCACUGUUGCUUUGUUUACUUGAUUUGAUUCUAAGUAUAGCAAAUUUUUGCAAAGCAACUUUAUUGUCUGGCCACUUUUCACAGCCUGCUUGAGUGGGAAAAGAUAGUGAAUUGCUAUAACAACUCAUUGCGCGCUUUAAGAUAUAUUAUGGUAUUCCUGCUAUCAUCCUCGUAAAGUGCUCAUGGUGGAUUCUUCUUUUGGUGUCGCUGCAGCUGAUAAGAUAUUGCAAAUAAUGUUACAGUAAUGGUUUUGUAAUGCUCAGAUUGAUUGGAAAACUACGUGUGUUAUCAGAAAUAAAGAGGAGUAAAUGCUUGGGCCGGUUAUUGAGAACACCAUGGGCAUAUGUAAAAAUGAAGCGGAAGAAUUAAAGAAAAAUUUUGUAAAAUUGUUCA